GAGUUUGAUCCUGGCUCAAGAUGAACGCCGGCGGUGUGCCUAAUACAUGCAAGUCGUACGCACUGGCCCAACUGAUUGAUGGUGCUUGCACCUGAUUGACGAUGGAUCACCAAUGAGUGGCGGACGGGUGAGUAACACGUAGGUAACCUGCCUCGGAGCGGGGGAUAACAUUUGGAAACAGAUGCUAAUACCGCAUAACAACAAAAGCCACAUGGCUUUUGUUUGAAAGAUGGCUUUGGCUAUCACUCUGGGAUGGACCUGCGGUGCAUUAGCUAGUUGGUAAGGUAACGGCUUACCAAGGCAAUGAUGCAUAGCCGAGUUGAGAGACUGAUCGGCCACAAUGGAACUGAGACACGGUCCAUACUCCUACGGGAGGCAGCAGUAGGGAAUCUUCCACAAUGGGUGCAAGCCUGAUGGAGCAACACCGCGUGAGUGAAGAAGGGUUUCGGCUCGUAAAGCUCUGUUGUUGGAGAAGAACGUGCGUGAGAGUAACUGUUCACGCAGUGACGGUAUCCAACCAGAAAGUCACGGCUAACUACGUGCCAGCAGCCGCGGUAAUACGUAGGUGGCAAGCGUUAUCCGGAUUUAUUGGGCGUAAAGCGAGCGCAGGCGGUUGCUUAGGUCUGAUGUGAAAUCCUUCGGCUUAACCGAAGAAGUGCAUCGGAAACCGGGCGACUUGAGUGCAGAAGAGGACAGUGGAACUCCAUGUGUAGCGGUGGAAUGCGUAGAUAUAUGGAAGAACACCAGUGGCGAAGGCGGCUGUCUGGUCUGCAACUGACGCUGAGGCUCGAAAGCAUGGGUAGCGAACAGGAUUAGAUACCCUGGUAGUCCAUGCCGUAAACGAUGAGUGCUAAGUGGUGGGAGGGUUUCCGCCCUU
rnacentral:rRNA from 1 species